CGGCAUGCUUAACACAUGCAAGUCGAACGAAGACCAUAAGGAAGCUUGCUUCUUGAAGCUAGUGGCGGACGGGUGAGUAACGCGUGAGUAACCUGCCCUCGAGUGGGGAAUAACAUCGAGAAAUCGGUGCUAAUACCGCAUAAUGUCGGAGAACCGCAUGAUUUUCCGACCAAAGGAUUUAUUCGCUUGAGGAUGGACUCGCGUCCGAUCAGCUAGUUGGUGAGGUAACGGCCCACCAAGGCGACGAUCGGUAGCCGAACUGAGAGGUUGAUCGGCCACAUUGGGACUGAGACACGGCCCAGACUCCUACGGGAGGCAGCAGUGGGGAAUAUUGGGCAAUGGGCGAAAGCCCUGACCCAGCAAUGCCGCGUGAAGGAUGAAGGUCUUCGGAUUGUAAACUUCUUUGAUUGGGGAAGAAUAAAAUGACCUACCCAAAGAACAAGUCACGGCUAACUACGUGCCAGCCGCGGC
rnacentral:rRNA from 1 species